UACGGAGGGUGCAAGCGUUAUCCGGAUUCACUGGGUUUAAAGGGUGUGUAGGCGGGCUGUUAAGUCAGUGGUGAAAUCUCCGGGCUCAACCCGGAAACUGCCAUUGAUACUAAUGGUCUUGAAUUUUGUUGAGGUAGGCGGAAUAUGUCAUGUAGCGGUGAAAUGCUUAGAUAUGACAUAGAACACCAAUUGCGAAGGCAGCUGGCUACACAAAUAUUGACACUGAGGCACGAAAGCGUGGGGAUCAAACAGG
rnacentral:rRNA from 1 species